UAGGGAAUCNCUGGCAAUGGACGGAAGUCUGACCGAGCAACGCCGCGUGAGUGAAGAAGGUUUUCGGAUCGUAAAGCUCUGUUGUAAGAGAAGAACGAGUGUGAGAGUGGAAAGUUCACACUGUGACGGUAUCUUACCAGAAAGGGACGGCUAACUACGUGCCAGCAGCCGCGGUAAUACGUAGGUCCCGAGCGUUGUCCGGAUUUAUUGGGCGUAAAGCGAGCGCAGGCGGUUAGAUAAGUCUGAAGUUAAAGGCUGUGGCUUAACCAUAGUACGCUUUGGAAACUGUUUAACUUGAGUGCAAGAGGGGGGAGUGGAAUUCCAUGUGUAGCGGUGAAAUGCGUAGAUAUAUGGAGGAACACCGGUGGCGAAAGCGGCUCUCUGGCUUGUAACUGACGCUGAGGCUCGAAAGCGUGGGGAGCAAACAGGAUUAGAUACCCUGGUAGUCCACGCUGUAAACGAUGAGUGCUAGGUGUUAGACCCUUUCCGGGGUUUAGUGCCGUAGCUAACGCAUUAAGCACUCCGCCUGGGGAGUACGACCGCAAGGUUGA
rnacentral:rRNA from 1 species